CACACACCAGUUCUCGUACGAUCACCGAAGUUAAGCAAAGCCGAGCCUGGUCAGGGCUUAGAUGGGUGGCCUCUUGGGAGUCCCAGGUACUGUAAG